rnacentral:tRNA from 1 species
GCCUCGGUGGUGAAAUUGGUAAACACAGAGCACUUAAAAUGCUCCGGCCUUUGGCCUUGCCGGUUCGAUUCCGGCCCGAGGCA